UACGUAGGGGGCAAGCGUUGUCCGGAUUCAUUGGGCGUAAAGAGCGUGUAGGCGGCCAGGUAGGUCGGUUGUGAAAACUGGAGGCUCAACCUCGAGACGUCGGCGGAAACCAUCUGGCUAGAGUCCGGAAGAGGAGAGUGGAAUUCCUGGUGUAGCGGUGAAAUGCGCAGAUAUCAGGAAGAACACCCGUGGCGAAGGCGGCUCUCUGGGACGGUACUGACGCUGAGACGCGAAAAGCGUGGGGAGCGAACAGG
rnacentral:rRNA from 1 species